rnacentral:rRNA from 1 species
CAGUAGCCGCGGUAAUACGUAGGUCCCGAGCGUUGUCCGGAUUUAUUGGGCGUAAAGGGAGCGCAGGCGGUUUAGUAAGUCUGAAGUUAAAGGCAUUGGCUCAACCAAUGUAUGCUUUGGAAACUGUUAGACUUGAGUGCAGAAGGGGAGAGUGGAAUUCCAUGUGUAGCGGUGAAAUGCGUAGAUAUAUGGAGGAACACCGGUGGCGAAAGCGGCUCUCUGGUCUGUCACUGACGCUGAGGCUCGAAAGCGUGGGUAGCGAACAGGAUUAGAUACCCGAGUAGUCCCUGUCUCUUAUACA